rnacentral:misc_RNA from 1 species
GAUGAAGAACGUAGCGAAAUGCGAUAAGUAAUGCGAAUUGCAGAAUUCAGUGAGUCAUCGAAUCUUUGAACGCACAUUGCGCCCUGUGGUAUUCCGCAGGGCAUGCCUGUUCGAGCGUCAUUUCAACCCUCAAGCCCCGCUUGGUGUUGGGCCCCGCCCGCUGUGGCCGGCCCUAAAGACAGUGGCGGCGCGGCCUGGCCCUCAGCGUAGUACAUCUCUCGCUCCAGGGUCCGGUGGCCGCCUGCCAGAACCCCCCAACUCUGUGGUUGACCUCGGAUCAGGUAGGGAUACCCGCUGAACUUAAGCAUAUCAAUAAGCGGAGGA